AAAUUGAAGAGUUUGAUCAUGGCUCAGAUUGAACGCUGGCGGCAGGCCUAACACAUGCAAGUCGAACGGUAACAGGAAGCAGCUUGCUGUUUCGCUGACGAGUGGCGGACGGGUGAGUAAUGUCUGGGAAACUGCCUGAUGGAGGGGGAUAACUACUGGAAACGGUAGCUAAUACCGCAUAACGUCGCAAGACCAAAGAGGGGGACCUUCGGGCCUCUUGCCAUCGGAUGUGCCCAGAUGGGAUUAGCUAGUAGGUGGGGUAACGGCUCACCUAGGCGACGAUCCCUAGCUGGUCUGAGAGGAUGACCAGCCACACUGGAACUGAGACACGGUCCAGACUCCUACGGGAGGCAGCAGUGGGGAAUAUUG
rnacentral:rRNA from 1 species